ensembl:lncRNA
UGGUCCUGGACUGGAGAGAAGGGUUGGGGUGGGGUUAUGAGGAGAGUGGGCCUGGACUGGAGAGAAGGGUUGGGGUGGGGUAAUGAGGACAGUGGGCCUGGACUGGAGAGAAGAGUUGGGGUGGGGUUAUGAGGACAGUGGGCCUGUCCUCAUAACCACUAUAUGGGGAAUAGGGUGCCAUUCAGGACGUAAACAACAUUUUCUCUACACUCACCAGCAGGUAUUAUCAUCAACAGUCAUGACUAGUGAUGAAGACUGAGAAUGUUAUCCAAAGUAGGCUACUACUAACUACUCACCUCAUCUGUGGCCCUAAGACAUUCAGCAAUGAGUGGUUAUAACACCUCAGCUGUGGCGCUAAGACAUUCAGUAAUGAGUGGUUAUAACACUUCAGCUGUGGCCCUAAGACAUUCAGCAAUGAGUGGUUAUAACACCUCAGCUGUGGCCCUAAGACAUUCAGCAAUUAGUGGUUAUAACACCUCGGCUGUGGCCCUAAGACAUUCAGUAAUGAGUGGUUAUAACACCUCAGCCGUGGCCCUAAGACAUUCAGCAAUGAGUGGUUAUAACACCUCAGCUGUGGCCCUAAGACCUUCAGCAAUGAGUUGUUACAAAUAGUUAUUAUUUUUAUGCUCCUCGUAGUUUUCUCUCUAUCAAAUGUCACACGUUUUGUGUUUUGUCCAUUCUUGUCAUAGUUGUGUGUCCAAAAACACAUCUUGUUUAACAAUUUUCAUUACAUUCAACAAGGAUACCAACAAUGACACCAUUUUGUAUUUGUAUUUAUUACGGAUCCUGGGUUCGAGCGAAAUAAAGGCAGUUAUACCAUGUUAAAAACAUUACAAUACAUUCAUAACAGAUUUCACAACACAUUAAGUCCACUAAGCUAUUUUUUCAUACAUCCACCCAAUGUUUUGUCAUACUUUCCCUGCCAAUAUUGGCCCUGAAUAGCACUGUUUGUCAACAACAACAAAACUCUCACAAACAAAAGGAUUGCAUGCAUCCAAUAUUGGCCCUGAAUAGCACUGUUUGUCAACAACAACAAAAAAAACUCUCACAAAAAAAAAAGGAUUGCAUGCAUCCAAUAUUGUAUUUGAGGCCACAUGUUGGAAUUUUUGGAUUACAUUUACUGCAGUGGUCUAAAUCGGGGCCAGAGGGAUUCUGGGUAGUCUGAAACAAAUCUACUUUGAAACAAAAGUAUACAUCUCACACACAUAGUUUUGUGGGUUUAACAAAAAGAUGACGUCUGCACCAUGUCAGUUGAAAUGUAUUCCAUUUUGAGUUUGCAUCCCAAUAUUACACUUUAUAUACAUCACAUAAGUUGAAAUAUAACCUUUGGACAUAGAAACACCGGAUUGUCAAGCGUAUUUAAAAUUAAAAUGUUUUGUGAAAAAUGUUAAUUACAUUCCACCCAUGAGGCCACUAGAGGGCAAUUUGGUAAUUUGACUGCAGGAAAGGGAUGUAAAUAAACAAACAAAAAAACAAACACGAUCAUUCUAAUGCAACUUAAUGAAGCCGACCCAACUCUGAACAAGAUAUGAACUGUUACUUUAACACUAAGGUGUGAAUGACUGUAUACACUUCUCCAUUACUCAUAUGGCAUUAUAAAAUCAUCCUUGAACCUUGCAUUAUCUAGGUAAAUCGCAAAUGAUAUUCUGUCAUGUUAUGAUGUAUUGUUAUUGAUGUUAUUUAAACACUUUUGAUUUCUAAGUCAUAUAUUUAAUGUUACACUAGGUGCUCUUAUGUUGCUUUUUCAAUGUUGUCGAUGUGAAGAAAAAUAAUAAGAAAAUAAAAAGAGUACUCAUGAAUGCAAUGUUGUAAUUGCAAAACCUCAA